rnacentral:tRNA from 1 species
GCCCGGCUAGCUCAAUGGCAGAGCGUAAGACUUCUAAUCUUAAGGUUGCGGGUUCGACCCCCGCGUUGGGCU